AUUGAACGCUGGCGGCAGGCCUAACACAUGCAAGUCGAGCGGAUGAAGGGAGCUUGCUCCUGGAUUCAGCGGCGGACGGGUGAGUAAUGCCUAGGAAUCUGCCUGGUAGUGGGGGAUAACGUCCGGAAACGGGCGCUAAUACCGCAUACGUCCUGAGGGAGAAAGUGGGGGAUCUUCGGACCUCACGCUAUCAGAUGAGCCUAGGUCGGAUUAGCUAGUUGGUGGGGUAAAGGCCUACCAAGGCGACGAUCCGUAACUGGUCUGAGAGGAUGAUCAGGCACACUGGAACUGAGACACGGUCCAGACUCCUACGGGAGGCAGCAGUGGGGAAUAUUGGACAAUGGGCGAAAGCCUGAUCCAGCCAUGCCGCGUGUGUGAAGAAGGUCUUCGGAUUGUAAAGCACUUUAAGUUGGGAGGAAGGGCAGUAAGUUAAUACCUUGCUGUUUUGACGUUACCAACGGAAUAAGCACCGGCUAACUUCGUG
rnacentral:rRNA from 1 species